rnacentral:rRNA from 1 species
GUCUAUGGCCAUGCCACCCUGAACAAGCUCGAUCCCGUCUGACCUCGGAAGCUGCGCAGGGUCCAGCCUGGUUGGAAGUACUUGGAUGGAAGACCAGGUGCUGUAGGCA